GACGAACCGUCCAAACGUUAUUCGGAAUCACUGGGCUUAAAGGGCGCGUAGGCGGGUUCGCAAGUCUGUGGUGAAAGCCUCCAGCUUAACUGGAGAAGUGCCGUGGAUACUGCGAAUCUUGAGGAGGGUAGGGGCGUCUGGAACGGUCGGUGGAGCGGUGAAAUGCGUUGAUAUCGACCGGAACUCCGGUGGCGAAGGCGAGGCGCUGGACCCUUUCUGACGCUGAGGCGCGAAAGCCAGGGGAGCAAACGGG
rnacentral:rRNA from 1 species